CGCAUGGAGCUCACUCAAUGCUUGGAUUCAGCCAUCACAUAUUCGUCUGCCUCAAUGAACGCGCGCCAAACCAUCCCAAGGGCUGCUGCAAGCAUCGAGGAUCGCUGGAAAUAUUU
rnacentral:misc_RNA from 1 species